GACGAACGUUGGCGGUGCGCUUAAUGCAUGCAAGUCGAGGGAGAACCGCUCGGUCCGUAAGGACCAGGCGGGGAAACCGGCGAACGGGUGCGUAACACGUGAGGAACCUGCCCCGAAGUCCGGGAUAGCCCGGGGAAACCCCGGGAUCAAUACCGGAUGCCUUCGCGGAACCGUAUGGCUCUGCGAAGAAAGGUCCGCCGCUUCGGGAUGGUCUCGCGGCCUAUCAGGUUGUUGGUGAGGUAACGGCUCACCAAGCCGGAGACGGGUAGCUGGUCUGAGAGGACGAUCAGCCACGCUGGGACUGAGACACGGCCCAGACUCCUACGGGAGGCAGCAGCAGGGAAUAUUGCACAAUGGGCGAAGCCUGAUGCAGCGACACCGCGUGCGGGAUGAAGGCCUCGGGUUGUAAACCGCUUUCAGGAGGGACGAAACUGACGGUACCUCCAGAAGAAGCCCCGGCCAACUACGUGCCAGCAGCCGCGGUAACACGUAGGGGGCCGAACGUUGUCCCGGAUUUAUUGGGCCGUAAAGGGCUCGUAGGCGGUUCAACAAGCCGGCCGUG
rnacentral:rRNA from 1 species